AGCUCCGAGGUGUUAUACAUAACAGAUUGCAAAUCUGAAGUGGAAGAUUGAAACCUUCCGGGGCUU
rnacentral:tRNA from 1 species